rnacentral:sRNA from 1 species
GCUGGGCAUGGUAGCCCAUGCCUGUAAUCCCAGCAGCUUGGGAGGCAGAGGUAGGAGGAUCGAAAGUUCCAGGCCAGCUUCAGCAACUUAGAGAGGUCCUGUCUCAA